UUACCGAAAUUAUGUAAAGUAGCGCCUGCCCGGUGAUAGUGACCCUAUUAAACGGAUGAUAUUCAUUAAAGUAGCGUAGUCAGUUGUCUCUUGAAUAGGGACUAGUAUGAAAGGCAUAACAGGGCUUAGCUGUCUUAAUAAAUUAAUAAGAAAUUAAUUUGCGGGUGAAAAAUCCCGCAUAAAAUUGAAGGACGAGAAGACCCUUUAGAGUUUAAUAAAAAACCUUUAAAAGAUUUAAAGUUUAUUAUUUUGUUGGGGCAACACGGGGGAUAAACCCCCUAAAAAAUUUUUUACUAUGGUAAAAAAAAGAUCCUUAAAAAGAACCAAAAAAAACUACCUAAGGGAUAACAGCGUAAUUUUUCCUGAGAGACCUAAUUGAAGGAAAGAGUUUGCGACCUCGAUGUUGGACUAAGAUAUCCCUUUGGUGCAGAAGCUAAAAAAGUAAGGCCUGUCGGCUAAAA
rnacentral:rRNA from 1 species